UGACAACUCUUCAUCAAUCCUUGAGACAAC
rnacentral:sRNA from 1 species